GUGCUUGCUUCGGCAGCACAGAUACUAAAAUUGGAAUGAUACAGUGAAGAUUAGUAUGUCCCCUGUGCAAGGAUGACACACAAAUUCAUGAAGCAUCCCAUAUUUAA